UCUAUAGAUCAAAAAAUAUUUAUCGUGAUCAGUUUGAAAGUUGCUUCUAUAGUAAUUAUGAAUAAAAAAAGAAUCUCAUUAAAGUUUAGUUUGCAAAAUAUUAAUUUGUUCGUUCAUCAAAAAAAUGCGUGUCUACAUUAAACAGAAAUGUUCUUGUGCAGAAGCAGCAUCACGUUCAUUGAAACUUGUGAAUAGCUUGCGGGUAGCUCGUGAGGAAUUAUAGAGUUGUUCGUUUACCAAAAGAAUGUUAUGCUACAUCCACACUGUUUUUGCUUCAUUAACUAUAAUAAACUAUGAUGAAUAGCAAUUAUUCUUUCAAAAAAUAAUAGAUUAAAGAUUAGUUAUAGGUUAAAGUGUUUCUAGAUUAUAUACAUUAAAACAUUUCUAUAUUUCUGUGGAUUGUAAUAUUUCUAAUGAAUACUGUUUUUGUUCAUGGAAUGACUAAAUAGCUUGUCAAUUGCUUGUGAACUAUCAAUUAAUUAUUAUCAAUAUAGAUAUUCAGAAAUAUAGCAAAGAAAUAAAAUUAGUCAAUUAUAUGUGAAAAAUGAUUUUAUUUAAAUUGCAUAUUCAAUUUAAAUAUCUUAUUUCAUUAUUAGAGUAUCAUUAUUAUUAUUAUUUCAUAUUUAUUUAUAUUAAAUAAAUUGUAAAAGUGGUUUACCAAGAACUCACUAGAUGGAAUCAUAAACAUUAUUGUGGACGCAGCAUAAGUGACUCGUGUCUGAAUCACAUGCGCGAUAGAAUACAGUCGUAAUGUCGCGAAAAAUUGGUUCUCCCGAUAAUUCGUCCUUAAUUCUAUAUUCACUUGGUAAACCUCAUACGAAUUCAUACGAAGUCAUUAAUAAUAAUUAAGAUAGUUCGACAGACAGAAUAAAUAAUGGCGUAACGUCGAGGUGUGCAAAGGAAAUAUAUGAUCGCCACGGUUGCUGAUUGAAAAUUGAAAUUCAUCCAUGUAAAAUAAUGUCAUUGGCAUAUCGGUAUAAUUUGCGAACACUGAUACUAAACUUGAACGAUGUCAAGAAAUCAUUAUCAAAAUAUAAAGUAAUAUGAAGUAAAAAAAAUAUAAGUAAUUUAAAAAAACUUCUUUCACUUUUUUUUAAAUUUGUCAUUGAAAUAUUACUGGAAAGUUAAUAGUAUGACCAUAUCAUAUUAUAAAUUUAUAAUUAAUAAAUUUAACAAAAAUUCCGUAAAAGAAAAUAAAAAAAUUCUUUUCAUCAUCACAUGAUGUGUUUAUACAUAAUUUUGAAAUUAAAAUACAUACUGUUAAAAAACAUGAAACUGGAGAGAAAAGAUUAAGAAAGAAAGUGAAAACAGAAAACUCACCAGCGAGAGAUAUGUCCCCUGAAAGGAUGUUCCCUGGUCUUACGAGAGGAAAAGGAUAAAGUCAAGUUGUUGGCGGCAGCAAGCCGCGGGCACAGGACUGCGGUCAGCCAAACCACCUGUAACAGAGAAGAAAAAACUCUAAUUUAUCGUCAAUUUAAUGGAAACAUUUAGUGAAAAUAUUUUAAACUUAUUUACAGACAAAAUAUUUGCAUUUAACUUUUGAUUUGUUUGAAUUCGUCGUUAUACAAAUUGUUGCUUAUUUUAAUUUCAUUACCAUCAAAGAUUUAAAGCGAUACGAUUGUCUUUCAAAUAUAUUUUUAUAAUUCUUAUAAUUAUAUCAAAUUAUUUAUUUAUGCUAUAAAUUAUCAAGCAACUUAUAAAUCAAAAAAGAAAGCAACUAAGCUCUUUCUCUUGUAACACUUUGAUAAAAUUGAAUUAAACUGUUUAAUAUGUAUAACGAAUCAAGUAUGGAUUCGGCUUCUAAUUCUUCAAGAUAAGAUAUAUAUAUAUGUAUAUUCAUAUAUUUCGCAAUUAAAGUCACGGCGAAAAGAGAAAGAAAGAGAGAAAAGAAGGGCGAAUGGAGCAAAGCUGAAUGCCGAGAGGCCUGUUUUGCAUAAAAAUUAUAAGUCGAAUUAAUGUUUUCACCUCCAUGGCUUGUGUGCACCGCAUUUCGUGUCCGAUGCGUGACUAACACAGUGGUUUAUUGCAUGUUAAUACGAAUCCGGUACCACCAGUAUUUUUUCAUGAGAUAAUCUUGACUCACCCUUAUAAACAGGAUAUGUAUAUUGAAAGAACGAAGGAUUUUAGGAAAUUUGGUUAAAAAUAAGGAAGAAUUUUAAUAAAUAAUUUUCAAUGAUGAAAUGGAUGAAAAAUAUUGAUUUUUGCUAUAUUUAGAAGAAUAUUUUUUUAAUGUUAUUAUUAAUUAUAUUAUAUGUACAUAAUUUAUUUACGUACAUAUUAUAAGUUGGUAUCUGAAUCAUGAUUUUAAUUAAUUUAAAUUAAAUUAAAUAAAAAAAAAACGGAAUUUAUAAAGAAAAAUGAAUAACACGACGAAUAAAUGAAUAUAAAAAAAUA